GUCCACAUGUGGAUUUAGGUUUUUCAAAAUCCCGUAGGCACAUAUUGAUUUUCCGGGAUAAAAAAUAGCCUAUGUCCGUCCCCGGGAUAUAUAAGCUAACUCUGUACCAAAUUUCAUUAAAAGCGGUUUAGCGGUAGAGCCGCGAAAAUGUAGCAUACAGACAGAUACACUUUCGCAAUUACAAUAUUAGUAUGGAUAAAGUAUGAAUAUAACAUCAUA